GUUUUGUGGCCAAGGCAGGGGCAGAAGCCAGCUCUUCUUACCCACUGUCCCCAAAGCUCAUCUCACACUGGAGUUGUGACAUCAGCACUAUUCUGCCUCUGCUAUACAACAGGCCCUGGAACAUACUCGAACCAUGUAGGUGAUUUGUGUCCCUGUCUCAUCUUUCUUACCAGAAUACCAUCGGAGCUCCUCUGGAACAUGUCCUUGUCUUCUCAGAGUGUGAAGUGUGUGUGUGACAGUGCUUUUCUGAGGACUCAGGUGACCUGGAGGCUGGAGAACAGCAUGGAGCAAGGAAAACAAAGACGAUGUGCUGGAGUGUAUGUUGCUUUCAUAAUUAUGUGAAAGAAAAUGUAGAGAAAUUUGAAAGGUAAGAUCUGACCGCUUUGACCCCUCUCCUCACACCAGCCUAUGCCCCACUUUCUUGAAGACCCACUCCCCAGCUUAGCAGCCAGGUACCCAUCACAGCCUGGCUUCAAGAAGGGAGCCCAGUCCGCCAGGUUUGUUCUCUCUCCUUCGGUCUGUCUCUGUUGGCCAGUCUGUCCAGGAGUCACUCUGUCCAUGGGUCAGUCUCUCCUUCUUUCUGACUGUCUUCCUAUCAUUCUUUCUCAGUUGUUCCCUCUCACCUUAAGGGCUGCCUAAUUUCUCUCUCAUCAUGUCUUUACUUCUCUCCUAGCCUCAUUUCCAGCUUUGGCUUCCUCAUAACUAAAGUGUGCUGUGGCCCCAACAUGGCAUCCUGACUUCUUUUCAGAGUCUGCCUCCAAGCUUCUGGCUGGUCUUGCCACAUACUCCAAUUCAUAUCCCUUCACAUUACAUCAAGCUGGCUCAGUCUGUCUCUUCUCCUCUGGCCAGACAAUGGCAGAUCACCUUGGUCAAGCAUGUCCUCUGGACCAAUUGCCCCAGACCAGGAUUAUUUAAAUACAACUCGUC
rnacentral:lncRNA from 10 species